UUUCCGUAGGUGAACCUGCGGAAGGAUCAUUAUUACACAACCGAGCUGCGACGCGUGCCACUGAGCAGAAAGGUCGAACACUUCCCAGUGCCCUCACACACAUGCAUCUCAACCUUAUGUUCACCACCGCGUGGGCCCUCCUCUGGCGGGUUGGGUGGUUGGUUGACUUAUCCUUACAAAUAUGGUACGCACUGCAGACUGUAUCUUUUGUUUUGCCGAUCACGCAAGCAAUACAACUUUCAACAACGGACCUUUUGGCUCUCCCUUCGAUGAAGUACC
rnacentral:misc_RNA from 1 species